ACCAUUCAAAUCAAAGAAGGCUCUUCAGGGUAAGUUGGAGUUGUCUGCCUUUGAAAAUGGAAGGGGCUAAGGUGUGAAAGAUUUCUCCAAACUUGGACAACAGUAGGAGUCCAGAACGCCGUCUGUAGGGGCAGCAAGAAUGCCAGUGGGUAAGUCUUGUGGGCAAACUGGGAAGCACAGGCUUGCUCGAGAGCGGUCUGCUGCUCCCCAGCACCAGCUGCUUGUCAUGUGGAGAAGUAGGCCAUUGUUGCCUGAAUAGCUCAGCCUUUAAGAGAAAUUAAACAGAAAUUUGUCAUUAAAGUUCUUGGUUUUUAAAUGAUGGAACCUAGUCAACUUUUAAAGAGGCACUGAGUAGCCAAAGCCAAGCAUAUCGUAUGUGGGCAAUGUGCUUUCCAUGUCUCUUCCACCUGCAGAGGGGAUGCCUGGACGUGAGGCAGAGAGUUGACAUUCAGUAUGAACUGCCUUUUCUUUUUAUAACUGAGACUCCUAACUCUAGUAUCAUUUCUCAUGGUUUAAUGUGUUUGGGCUCAUUUGGAGCCAACGCUGACAAUGGAAGAUGGCUGAGCAAACAAAGGUAUUGUUGUAAACGUCAAACACAAUCAAAGCCAAAGGACGAGAACAAGCCCUAGCAUGGGCUUUACGCAUUAUAAAAAACAUGAUUAAGUCUUGGCGGUUAUAUUCCUGGCUGGUUCUUAUUUCAGCUUUGGUUCCUCUUGCUCAUUCCUCAUAAAUAUUAUUAGUGUGGAUUGUGUA